rnacentral:lncRNA from 1 species
GCUUCGCGAAGCUCUGGUUCCGCCGCGAGUAACGGUCGGUCGGAACUCAGAACCUUUGCCCUGCGGGGGGGUGGACGGUCGCCAGUCUGUGGGGCCCUUCCGUGGCCCGGGGGCUUCAGAACCUUCUCCCCUCCCCUGCUGCCCCUCGGGGGAGAGGCGGGCUGGGCCUUCGCGGCGACGCCGCCCGCUUACGCCUGUGGUCGUUACUGUACAGCUGCCCUGCCCCGGCCCCGGCCCCGGCCCCGGCGGGAGAACCGCUGGGUUGGUGGCCGCCCGGCGCCCCGCAGGGCUCGGGGCUCGGGGCUCGGGGCUCGGGGCUCGCCAGGCACUCGAAAUGGGCCCGGGAGAGUGGGCUUGGUAGUAGGACUCAGGAGAGGCGGGAGCGAGACACCUGGCGCGGCGCCCCUCCCUCGGCUCCUGCUGACCCGCUGCCCGCCGUGGCGGAGGCUCUGCCCGCGGUUCCGGACGGUGUGGACAAGCGAGCCGUGCGGGGAGGAUGCUGCGUGCACCUGAGCCCUGUGCAGGUGUGGGGAUGGAGGCGAUGAGGGGCGAGAGGCUGAUGCUCGACUAGGUAAACGCGACCCGCUGACCUUUCUCUGCCUCUCCUUUCGCACCUUAACGGGAGGAGGACUGUAAGCCCAUCACAGGUUUGUCUUUGAAUCAAGAGAUGGUGGGUGUGAAAGGGCUUUCCAAAAAGGUGAAUUCCUAUACAAGUGUGAGAUCUUCCUUCACGGUCCAGGCAGCAAGACAAAACAUGCGAAGUAACCAGUCAGGAAACUCAAAAAGAUGUCCCUCCUCCCCACCCCACCCCCACCCCCGCCCCAAUGAAAAAUAAUCCGGGUGAUGCAACCGAAUCUUUUUUUUUUUUUUUUUUUUUUUUAUGCAACCGAAUCUUAACUGUUGACCAGGCGCAGACAAGGACACGCUAACCGGGGAGAGCAUCCCUGAAGAAGCUAACUUUGAUCCACGUCAUAAAUGUAGUGGACUAAAUAUAGUUUAUGGUUUCAGCCUAGCCAUUGAUUUAUCAAAGCAGCAAAUCAGAUCCACUUAAACUAUGGAUUUGAAACUAUCAAGAUAUUUUAGUUUUCCAGAUCUUAAAGGAGAAAUUAAAUAAUAUUGUCACUUUAAAAUAUAAUUCGGAUGGGGGUGCCCGGGUGGCUCAGUGGCUUAAAUGUGGGACUCUUUGUUUUUGAUCAGGUCAUGAUCUCAUGAUGGAGCCCACCUCUGGUUCUGCACUGGUUCUGAAGCCUGCUUAGAAUUCUUUCUCUCCCUCUAUGUCCUUCCCCCGCCCCUCUAAAAAUAAAUAAAUAAAUAAAAUAUAACA